GGAUGGGUGGCAGAGUGGUUGAAUGUACUUGACUCGAAAUCAAGCAUAGGGGCAACCCUAUCGGGGGUUCGAAUCCCCCCCCAUCCGCCA
rnacentral:tRNA from 1 species